rnacentral:rRNA from 1 species
CGCGAAGAACCUUACCAAAUCUUGACAUCCUUUGACAACUCUAGAGAUAGAGCUUUCCUCUUCGGAGGACAAAGUGACAGGUGGUGCAUGGUUGUCGUCAGCUCGUGUCGUGAGAUGUUGGGUUAAGUCCCGCAACGGGCGCAACCCUUGAACUUAGUUGCCAUCAUUCAGUUGGGCACUCUAAGUUGACUGCCGGUGACAAACCGGAGGAAGGUGGGGAUGACGUCAAAUCAUCAUGCCCCUUAUGAUUUGGGCUACACACGUGCUACAAUGGACAAUACAAAGGGCAGCGAAACCGCGAGGUCAAGCAAAUCCCAUAAAGUUGUUCUCAGUUCGGAUUGUAGUCUGCAACUCGACUACAUGAAGCUGGAAUCGCUAGUAAUCGUAGAUCAGCAUGCUACGGUGAAUACGUUCCCGGGUCUUGUACACACC